rnacentral:rRNA from 1 species
GAUGAACGCUGGCGGCGUGCCUAAUACAUGCAAGUCGAGCGAACAGACGAGGAGCUUGCUCCUCUGACGUUAGCGGCGGACGGGGGAGUAACACGUGGAUAACCUACCUAUAAAACUGGGAUAACUUCGGGAAACCGGAGCUAAUACCGGAUAAUAUAUUGAACCGCAUGGUUCAAUAGUGAAAGACGGUUUUGCUGUCACUUAUAGAUGGAUCCGCGCCGCAUUAGCUAGUUGGUAAGGUAACGGCUUACCAAGGCAACGAUGCGUAGCCGACCUGAGAGGGUGAUCGGCCACACUGGAACUGAGACACGGUCCAGAUUCCUACGGGAGGCAGCAGUAGGGAAUCUUCCGCAAUGGGCGAAAGCCUGACGGAGCAACGCCGCGUGAGUGAUGAAGGUCUUCGGAUCGUAAAACUCUGUUAUUAGGGAAGAACAAAUGUGUAAGUAACUAUGCACGUCUUGACGGUACCUAAUCAGAAAGCCACGGCUAACUACGUG